UCCACCGGUUUCCCUUCACUAUCAACACCGCGAAUCAGUCCUUCACCACAGCCAGCCGUUUUCGUUUUCUUGCCAUUAGCGAGCACCACGUCCGCUCCGGCGCGCUCCACCAGCGAGGUGAAAAAGCUCUUAUCACUACUCAUGUGGCAUGAAGCUCCGCUAUCUAGAAUCCACUCGUUUUUCACAGCUUGCCCCGCGACAAAACACAACGGUUCACUCGACUUUUGCACCUGCUUCGCUUUUUGCGGCGGCUGUUUGCCGGCCGAGUCCGAAUCACUACUGUCACCCUGUUGCGUUGUCAAAACUGUCAGGCAAACUUCGCAAAAUCAUCGCCACUUUGAGAGUAUCAUCAAGCUUCUGCCCUACAUUAUCGAGGCGCUCAAACAGCUCGUCCAGCACGACAAGGUGUUUUUCCAUAUCACCACCCUCGAUUAAAUUGAUCGAACACAACCUUUUCAAAAGGGACACUCGCGACGUCAUAUUCGGUUUCUCGUGAUAUGUCUUCAAUGAUUCCCACACUUCUUUCGCACUUUCCUUCUUCUUGAUGAUGCUGAACUGAGAGUCCUCCAAACAGAGCCCAAUCGUCGCGAUGGCUCGUUGGUCAUCACGUUUCCAGUCAUCAUCGUCCGCGUCUUCCGGCUUCCCAUCACUGAUUACACUCCACAGUUCUUCACGAAUCAGCAACAUG